GGGAUUGCAGCUCAGGGGUGGAGUGCUUGCCUUACAGACAUGAGGCCUUGGGUUUAAUUCCCAGUAUUGCCU
rnacentral:tRNA from 1 species